rnacentral:lncRNA from 1 species
UCUAUGAAUCCUCUGAUUCGUCUUUCAAAUUUGAAUUCAAGGGCUUGUGAGCUUGAUCUUGAAUCUUGAUGAACUUGAUCUUGAUCUUGACUUGUAAUUGAAUUCAAGAGCUUUUGAGCUUGUUUUUGAAUCUUUAGUUGCACUUUGGAUCAAAGGGCCUUUGAGCUUGAUCUUGACUUGUACUUGAAUUCAAGGGCAUUUGAACUUGUUCUUGAAUAUUGUGG